rnacentral:tRNA from 4 species
GCGGGCGUGGCGGAAUUGGUAGACGCGCUGGUUUUAGGUACCAGUGUCGAAAGACGUGGGGGUUCGAGUCCCUUCGCCCGCACCA